rnacentral:rRNA from 1 species
AUUGAACGCUGGCGGCAGGCCUAACACAUGCAAGUCGAGCGGAUGAAGGGAGCUUGCUCCUGGAUUCAGCGGCGGACGGGUGAGUAAUGCCUAGGAAUCUGCCUGGUAGUGGGGGAUAACGUCCGGAAACGGGCGCUAAUACCGCAUACGUCCUGAGGGCGAACGUGGGGGAUCUUCGGACCUCACGCUCUCAGAUGAGCCUAGGUCGGAUUAGCUAGUUGGUGGGGUAAAGGCCUACCAAGGCGACGAUCCGUAACUGGUCUGAGAGGACGAUCAGUCACACUGGAACUGAGACACGGUCCAGACUCCUACGGGAGGCAGCAGUGGGGAAUAUUGGACAAUGGGCGAAAGCCUGAUCCAGCCAUGCCGCGUGUGUGAAGAAGGUCUUCGGAUUGUAAAGCACUUUAAGUUGGGAGGAAGGGCAGUAAGUUAAUACCUUGCUGUUUUGACGUUACCAACAGAAUAAGCACCGGCUAACUUCGUG